AGAGUUUGAUCAUGGCUCAGAUUGAACGCUGGCGGCAGGCUUAACACAUGCAAGUCGAGCGGAAACGAUGGGAGCUUGCUCCCAGGCGUCGAGCGGCGGACGGGUGAGUAAUACUUAGGAAUCUGCCCAGUAGUGGGGGAUAGCUCGGGGAAACUCGAAUUAAUACCGCAUACACCCUACGGGGAAAAGGGGGCGCUUGCGCUCUCGCUAUUGGAUGAGCCUAAGUCGGAUUAGCUAGUUGGUGGGGUAAAGGCCUACCAAGGCGACGAUCUGUAGCUGGUCUGAGAGGAUGAUCAGCCACACCGGGACUGAGACACGGCCCGGACUCCUACGGGAGGCAGCAGUGGGGAAUAUUGGACAAUGGGGGCAACCCUGAUCCAGCCAUGCCGCGUGUGUGAAGAAGGCCUUUUGGUUGUAAAGCACUUUAAGCAGUGAAGAAGACCUAACGGUUAAUACCCGUUAGCGAUGACAUUAGCUGCAGAAUAAGCACCGGCUAACUCUGUGCCAGCAGCCGCGGUAAUGCAGAGGGUGCAAGCGUUAAUCGGAAUUACUGGGCGUAAAGCGAGCGUAGGUGGCUUGAUAAGUCAGAUGUGAAAUCCCCGGGCUUAACCUGGGAACUGCAUCUGAUACUGUUGGGCUAGAGUAGGUGAGAGGGAGGUAGAAUUUCAGGUGUAGCGGUGAAGUGCGUAGAGAUCUGAAGGAAUACCGAUGGCGAGGCAGCCUCCUGGCAUCAUACUGACACUGAGGUUCGAAAGCGUGGGUAGCAAACAGGAUUAGAUACCCUGGUAGUCC
rnacentral:rRNA from 1 species